rnacentral:misc_RNA from 1 species
AAGUCGUAACAAGGUUUCCGUAGGUGAACCUGCGGAAGGAUCAUUAAAAAGAGGACAACUAGCACACCGUGAACCUAAAGAACUGGACACGUGUAAACUGAACUGUAAACUAUACUUUUGACAACUUUUAGCAACGGAUCUCUAGGUUCUC